GACCUUCAGCUCUUUGCCCAUCUAGGUCUGGGUUUUCUUGGUUUUCUUUAGGUCCCAUCACUGUGGUAGCCAGGUGCUUCCCACGUAAAUUAGAUUUGUAUGGCAAGGUCCCUGGCAGACUUCAAGGAGUCUUAUGCUUUUCUCCUCUUUCUGGUUUUGAGAAACUGCUUGGGAUAUACAUAUAUUUUCCUUUCCUUCUCCCACAUCCUUCUGGUUAUGGUGUGGAAACUUUAUCGAAGAGGAGGUGGUCUUGGUGAAUACCCUAUUGGUGAGAGAAAUCUGUCUCCUGCUGCAGCACAGUCAUCAUCCCACAGCAGACAUAUGUUUGAACUGAUGCAUCCCUAGUUGUUUUAAAACAGGAUAGGAUUCAGAGCACUAAAUACAGAUGGCAAAUCUGAUUGAAAAAUGUGUGGCCUGAUUCACCACUGCUUCACUGAUAGUUUUGCAGCAGUGUGACUCAAUCAUUUUCAGUGGCAUUACAUCCUGCCAAAAUCUGGAG